UUUGUACUCCCUCCGUCCCAAAAUUCUUGUCUUAAAUUUGUCUAAAUACGGAUGUAUCUAGUUACAUUUUAGUGUUAGAUACAUUCGUAUCUAAACAAAUGUAAGACAACAAUUUUGGGACGGAGGGAAUACUAC
rnacentral:pre_miRNA from 1 species